rnacentral:piRNA from 1 species
UACCUAUAAUAUCGUUGAUUGGCUGUUC